rnacentral:rRNA from 1 species
CCUCAUGGCCCUUAUAGGUGGGGCUACACACGUCAUACAAUGGCUGGUACAAAGGGUUGCCAACCCGCAGGGGGAGCCAAUCCCAUAAAGCCAGUCGUAGUCCGGAUCGUAGUCUGCAACUCGACUACGUGAAGUCGGAAUCGCUAGUAAUCGUGGAUCAGAAUGUCACGGUGAAUACGUUCCCGGGUCUU